GCCCCUAUAGCUCAGUGGUAGAGUAAGUCACCGAGAAUGCUGAGGUCCAUCGUUCAAUCCGGUGUGGGGGCA